rnacentral:rRNA from 1 species
UGAACUUAAGCAUAUCAAUAAGCGGAGGAAAAGAAACCCMCAGGGAUUGCCCUAGUAACGGCGAGUGAAGCGGCAACAGCUCAAAUUUGAAAUCUGGCCCUAGCGGUCCGAGUUGUAAUUUGUAGAGGAUGCUUUUGGUUAGGUGCCUUCCGAGUUCCCUGGAACGGGACGCCAGAGAGGGUGAGAGCCCCGUACGGUUGGACACCGAGCCUCUAUAUAGCUCCUUCGACGAGUCGAGUAGUUUGGGAAUGCUGCUCUAAAUGGGAGGUAAAUUUCUUCUAAAGCUAAAUACCGGCCAGAGACCGAUAGCGCACAAGUAGAGUGAUCGAAAGAUGAAAAGUACUUUGAAAAGAGGGUUAAAUAGCACGUGAAAUUGUUGAAAGGGAAGCGUUUGCGACCAGACUUUUUCCAGGCGGAUCAUCCGGUGUUCUCACCGGUGCACUUCGCCUGGUUUAGGCCAGCAUCGGUUCCCUUAGGGGGAUAAAGGCCUGGGGAACGUAGCUCCUUCGGGAGUGUUAUAGCCCCUAGCGUAAUACCCUUCGGGGGACCGAGGAACGCGCAUCUGCAAGGAUGCUGGCGUAAUGGUCGUCAACGACCCGUCUUGAAACACGGACCAAGGAGUCGAACAUUUGUGCGAGUGUUUGGGUGUUAAACCCUCACGCGUAAUGAAAGUGAACGGAGGUGAGAGCCCCUCGGGGUGCAUCAUCGACCGAUCCUGAUGUCUUCGGAUGGAUUUGAGUAAGAGCAUAACUGUUCGGACCCGAAAGAUGGUGAACUAUGCGUGGAUAGGGUGAAGCCAGAGGAAACUCUGGUGGAGGCUCGCAGCGGUUCUGACGUGCAAAUCGAUCGUCAAAUCUGCGCAUGGGGGCGAAAGACUUAUCGAACCAUCUAGUAGCUGGUUACCGCCGAAGUUUCCCUCAGGAUAGCAGUGUUGUCUUCAGUUUUAUGAGGUAAAGCGAAUGAUUAGGGACUCGGGGGCGCUAUAUUGCCUUCAUCCUUUCUCAAACUUUAAAUAUGUAAGAAGCCCUUGUUACUUAAUUGAACGUGGGCAUUCGAAUGUACCAACACUAGUGGGCCAUUUUUGGUAAGCAGAACUGGCG